rnacentral:rRNA from 1 species
GUCCACGCCGUAAACGAUGAGUACUGGGUGUCGCGGGUAGUUGACCCCUGCGGUGCCGUAGCUAACGCGUUAAGUACUCCGCCUGGGGAUUACGGUCGCAAGAUUAAAAACUCAAAGGAAUUGACGGGGGCCCGCACAAGCGGUGGAGCAUGUGGUUUUAAUUCGACGCAACGCGAAGAACCUUACCUGGGCUAGACAACGGUGGACCUCCCCAGAGAUGGGGCUUUCCUUCGGGGACUGCCGGUUCAGGUGCUGCAUGGCUGUCGU